rnacentral:lncRNA from 1 species
CUGCUGCCUUUCAGGGGAGCUAUAAAUACUCCUAGCCAGUUUGAUUAAAUAAUGCCACAGAAUGAGGGUGAGGAGGGCCAGGUGUUCUGGGAAACCUGUACAGCUGCCAAUAAUUGGACUAAAAAAUGCAGAGGCUCCAGCUUGGCUGGCAGGAUGAAUACAGCGUAGGGAGAGAAAAGGGCUUCCCAGGCCCAGCUCCCCAAAAGCCAGUGGAUACGGGGGAAAGGGCUGUGUUGAUGCUCCCAGGAGGAACUUCCAAUGAAGCCAAGGACUCUGGGGCUUGAGUGGACUCUCUGCCCAGGUGAGCAGUGCCAGGCUCAGAAGAGGACCCUGAUGGAGUGCACAGAGCCUGGCGGGGAGAUGCUCAGAGCAGGUGCAUUCAUAGCUGCUGUCGGGAUGCCCUGCUCUGAGCAGGGAAAGGGCAGUGGGUACAUGAGCUCCACACUUUCCCCACAGGGCUGGUGUGUUCUCAUGGGCCUCAGCCAGCAGGUGCCCUUAGCCCUCCAAGUGGCUCAUCCAGAACCAUGUCUCUGGGCAUUUUAAGGCAUGGGGGAGGAGUGUUUUCUUGGCAAAGAUAAGCAGAAUGCAAGAAAUAAAUAGCUUCUCAUGUGCAUAUAAUUAUACUGAGGCUCAGUGAUUACUCGGGAUCCUGACUUGGAAUAAAGUCAACAAUUCAGCAGUCUCCUAAAGACUUUGUCCAGCCCCACCUCCCUCAUGUUUUAGAGCCUGUGAUCCUAUUACCAUCAGGACAUCAAAUGUUUCACCUUUUUCUCCUUCAUGAUGUGGAGGAGACUUGCUUUGGAAAGCUGGUCUUCCAAUCUGAGAUGGCCUCAGCCCAGGAGAUGUGCUGGGAGCAUAAGGGGAGUUGUGUCCCCCACUUCAUGCCAGAUCCGCUUCUACUGCUCCCUCGAAGGAACUCUCAUCCUGGACGUUUGGCCACCUGUGAGGAAAAGAGGCAUUUGAUUUUCUGCAGAGGUCAACUCUUGUAAAAGCCUCUGUUCCUCAUCCUUCAACAGAGCAGCCACAUGUAUCAUUCCAGGCCCCACUUAAAAUCAGAAAACCUAAGUGGGCACAGGAACAAGCUCAGGCUUUAAACUGCUUGUUGCUGGUGUAAUGUGUGAAUAGUGCAUCUUUGGUGUAGAUUCUAAAACAAAACUUGGAGAGCAACCCUGGUGACAGUGGUCACAGGCAGAGUCUGCUGUAUCUGUCCCCCAAACUUAUGCCUUCCUCCACACUGAGCAGCACCAGCAAAGGGUGCUUGUGAAUCAGGAUGUUGUUAAACAAGCUGGGAGAAGAGAAACCACA